GACGAACGCUGGCGGUGUGCUUAACACAUGCAAGUCGAACGGUAAGGCCCUUUCGGGGGUACACGAGCGGCGAACGGGUGAGUAACACGUGAGUAACCUGCCCUCAUCUCUGGGAUAACAGUCGGAAACGGUUGCUAAUACUGGAUAUGAGCUUGCAAGGCAUCUUGUGGGUUGGAAAGAUUUUUUUUGGUUGGGGAUGGACUCGCGGCCUAUCAGCUUGUUGGUGAGGUAGUGGCUCACCAAGGCUUCGACGGGUAGCCGGCCUGAGAGGGCGACCGGCCACAUUGGGACGGAGAUACGGCCCAAACUCCUACGGGAGGCAGCAGUGGGGAAUAUUGCACAAUGGACGGAAGUCUGAUGCAGCAACGCCGCGUGCGGGAUGACGGCCUUCGGGUUGUAAACCGCUUUCAAUUGUGACGAAGCUUUUUUGUGACGGUAGCAGUAGAAGAAGCACCGGCUAACUACGUG
rnacentral:rRNA from 1 species